UACAGAGGUCUCGAGCGUUAGGCGGAAUCACUGGGCUUAAAGCGUGUGUAGGCGGAUUGCUAAGUACCUUGUGAAAUCCCACGGCUUAACCGUGGAACUGCUUGGUAUACUGGCUGUCUUGAGCCACUUAGGGGCAACCGGAACAAAUGGUGGAGCGGUGAAAUGCGUAGAUAUCGUUUGGAACGCCAAUGGUGAAGACAGGUUGCUGGGAGUGUGCUGACGCUGAGACACGAAAGCCAGGGGAGCAAACGGG
rnacentral:rRNA from 1 species